rnacentral:piRNA from 1 species
UCAUAAAUGUGCCUCACCCCCCAA